UUGAAACUCGAACGCGUCUCUCGGUCAUUCCCUCGACGACGCUGAAGGAGGAUGGACGUCUUCGUUAUAUUUCCUUCAAUUAUUGCGUUUCUUUGGGGUAUAUCGAUGGAUGCCGACGUAACCUGAGUGUCUAAUGUCCUCUAAAAUGAGUAGAUUGGUCCUGUUUAUUUGAUGAAUGACGGAAAGUUCAGUUUUUUUGAUGGAGCUGGUGUGGUUGCAGUGCCAACAUGACUUGAGUGGAAAGUGCCAGGGGUGGUACUUCUAUAGGGAAUGGUUGACCUGAUGUUUGUCAAAAGUUUAAGGAUGUUUGUUUUGGAAGCUUGAGGGUUUGAUGCUGCCAACAUGAGCUAAAUGCAAGGUGUCCAGGGCUUAUGGUCAAAUCGAAGUGGCAUGGCUUGUCAGGAUGUGAAGUUUUUAACUUUUGCUUUGGUAUUUGGAGAUCACAAGCUGAUGGUAUUGACCAGUGGCCGUGAAGAUGGAGUAAAGAUGGAUUGAGAAAAAAUAUGCAGGCAGAGUUGGUAUUACACUCAACCAUCAACAGUGCUACAAGGAUCGUCCAGAAGUAGCAGUUAGGUUGUCAUCAGCGACUGCAAAUAAACAUUGAUCUGAUUAUCAA
rnacentral:lncRNA from 1 species